GAGGUGGUGUGCGGGCUGGUCUUCAGGUUACUGCUGCCACUGUGUCUUGCAGCCGCUUGCCUGUUCAGGUACAAUGGCCUCUCCUUCGUCUACCUCAUCUACCUCCUGCUUAUUCCACUCUUUGCAGAGCCCACAAGCACGACGAUGCAGGGCCACACAGGGCGUCUGCUGCAGUCCCUGUGCUUCACCAGUAUGUCCUUCCUGCUGCUCCA
rnacentral:lncRNA from 1 species